AAACAACACUCUGCUCCAUUUUUCUCCAGAAUGCUGCAGUGUGUGCCCUACGUGCUCCGUGCUCCGGGUAGGCCCCUGACUGAUAAGUGCUUCACUUGGGAGAAGGGUGCAAAUGUACCCUUUAACAAGUGAAAUUUGUUAAAAGCUCAGAACAGACCACCCAAGAAAAGAAGCUAAGAGGAGCGAACAGCUAAGUCUCAAGUGACAGCCAGGUUUGAACAGAGAGGAGGGGCAUUAGUGGGCAAUCGUGGGCAAUUCUGAGUCGCCUGCAGCUUAGCUCUAUGACACAUAUGCCAGCUUACUAGUUUUGAUGAUGCACUGUGUUAUUUGAGGCACUGACAUUAGGGGACGCUGGAGAAAGGAAACUUGGGACCCCUGCACUAUCUUUCCAGCUUCACGGUACUGCAUCAAGAUCUCACCAGACUGUAUGGGAAGCCACCUCGAAGGCUUCCCAAGUAGGAACCAACCUUAGAUCGUGUCUGCAUUUCUCUCAUGGAAGAAACAAAAUAAAAGAAAGAGGGUUUCGCAAGUGUCAAAGGAUCCUGCGAUGUCUGAUGUCCCAAAGAACCAAGUGAGCAUUCCACCAGGCCAUGGGUGUGACAUUUCCAGGAAGGGGUGCCUGUGUGGGUGCCCCUGAUGGAGGCGCAGGGACAUGAAGUGUUUUCCCCUUAACCCAGAAACAAACCUACUCAGAUCAGGACAGUGCGGACCACCGUCCUGGCAGCAGAUUGUGCCACAGGCUGCCAGCCUCAUACCAGCUUGGCAGGAACAAACCCGAUGUCGCCUGAUUCGGCUACAGAUGUGAUGAUAUCUGACUAGAGGCUGAUUGGACAGUUUCCUCUAAUUAAGGAACUCUCGAGAAAAGCCCAAAAUAGCCACAAAGCCCUGUCAGCAAAGCAAUCAGCGGUGACAAUUAUCUGUCAACUUAGACUCCUGGGUGAGCCUUUGUGAGGAGCUGGACUCGUUGCUAGAAAUGCACAAAUCGGCACUGAAGCAGAAGUCAGGGAUGACAAGGACACAACGGAGCAGCCAAAGCCUGCUGCUCACCAGUGAGGAGCUUCUCCUCAGGGGAGGGGAACAGCAGCACGCAGAUGGGAGGAGUACUGUCCAGUCUACGGGUGUGUGUGUGUGUGUGUGUGUGUGUGUGUGUGUGUGUGAGAGAGAGAGAGAGAGAGAGAGAGAGAGAGAGAGAGAGAGAAUGUGUGUGUGAGAGUUUGUGUGUGUGUGAGAGAGAGAGAGAGAGAGAGAGAGAGAGAGAGAGAAUGUGUGUGUGAGAGUUUGUGUGUGAGAGAGAGACAGAGAGAGAGAGAGAGAGAGAGAGAGAGAGAGAGAGCGUUUUAGAAGGUUUUGUAAAAUAAUCAAGUGAAGCAGUUUGAAGUUCACCAGCCAUGACCUGGGAUGUGGACGCAUCCGGAAUCACCCCAUCCUUUACCUGGAGCUGUGCUACGCAUACGCUUUCUUUAACAGCUACAAGCAGGACACGCCCACUCUUUAUAUGGAAACCAGUUUACCCCACAUGCAUCCUCCCUCUGUUGGCUUCCAUAACCAUUGCCAUCUAUACUAUGAGGUCAUCAGGAGCGGGAGUUGGGAAGCUUAUAUAAAGCAACAAAUAUGACCCAGUGGGGUGGUUUGAAAGAAAACGGCCCCCAAAGGAAGGGCACUAUUAGGAGGCGUCGCUGUGGAGGCUGCUUUGAGGUCUCUCUUCUCAGGCUUCCCUCAGAGUGACAGUCAGUUGACUUCCUGUUGCCUGCAAGAUGCAGCCCUCUCUCAUCUCCGGCAUCCCAUCUGCCUGCACACCACCAUGCUCCCCGUCACGAUGACAAUGGACUGAACCCCUGAAACUGUAAGGGAGCCACUCGGAUUAAAUGUUUUCUUUACAAGAGUUGCCAUUGUCUGGACGUUGUAAGAGUUGCAUGGGGAGCCAGCAUAGGAUUGAAGCAGGACUCUGUGUUACUGGGGGGCACAGGAACCAGUAUUUAUUAUCCCUAGUGCACGAAUGGGCUUUGGGAGCCCAUUCCCUAAGGAGGGACACUCUCUCAGCCUAGAUACAUGGGGGAGAGCUUAGGCCCUGCCCCAAAUGAUGGGACAGACUUUGAUGAACCCCAUGAGAGGCCUCACCCUCCC
ensembl:lncRNA